rnacentral:rRNA from 1 species
AGCGAACGCUGGCGGCAGGCUUAACACAUGCAAGUCGAGCGGGCCCUUCGGGGUCAGCGGCAGACGGGUGAGUAACACGUGGGAACGUACCCUUCGGUUCGGAAUAACUCAGGGAAACUUGAGCUAAUACCGGAUACGCCCUUUGGGGGAAAGGUUUACUGCCGAAGGAUCGGCCCGCGUCUGAUUAGCUAGUUGGUGGGGUAAUGGCCCACCAAGGCGACGAUCAGUAGCUGGUCUGAGAGGAUGAUCAGCCACACUGGGACUGAGACACGGCCCAGACUCCUACGGGAGGCAGCAGUGGGGAAUAUUGGACAAUGGGCGCAAGCCUGAUCCAGCCAUGCCGCGUGAGUGAUGAAGGCCUUAGGGUUGUAAAGCUCUUUCGACGGGACGAUAAUGACGGUACCCGUAGAAGAAGCCCCGGCUAACUUCGUGCCAGCCGCCGCCGUAA